UUGUAGUAGGUGGUGAGUAGUGAGAAAGAGUGUUGUUGGAGGAGCGAAAGGAGCAAAAGGAGCGAGAGAGGAUGUUGCAGGAGGUGUGAAAGAGGUGUAUUUGUGAUGUGAUUGAGGUAUAGGUAUAAUUUUAAAUAUGUGUGUUAUAUGUUGUUGUUAUUAUUUGUGUAUUUUAACUUUUGUAUUGUAUUUAAGUUAUUUUUAUGAUGCAAAAAUUGAAAUCAAUAGGUGGUUCCCGUUGAGUAUAAC
rnacentral:lncRNA from 1 species